AAAGGGAGACCUAAUUCAGGUAGGAGACGAAAAAAAAGUAGUCCCUACCAAGAAUCAAUCCCAAAAGGUCGGAGCGAGGCAAAAUUGGCUUUCAAACUAGGUUCUGGGUUCACACAAGACCUGAAUCAGGAACAAGGGCUAUUAGCUCAGGUGGUUAGAGCGCACCCCUGAUAAGGGUGAGGUCCCUGGUUCGAGUCCAGGAUGGCCCACCUGUACAGGUGGCAAAAAGGAGGAAUCAGCACCUUAUCUUACUUAUAUAGUAAGAGAGAAUGCUGGCUCUGAGUUCAGAGUCCAGAGGAACCUUGAAAACUGCAUAGAGCUAGGUGAAAAAGCCAAAAAAGAAGACCGCAAG
rnacentral:tRNA from 1 species